rnacentral:snoRNA from 1 species
UAAGUCGAUGAUGAUGAUUUAUCCGCCUUGUUCGAGUUUGAACUAUGAGAAUACUCUCAUGCACUACCAUCUGAGGCGAG